rfam:Loxodonta africana unplaced genomic scaffold scaffold_20, whole genome shotgun sequence.
GCAGUGGUGGUUCAGCCGUAGAAUCCUUGCCUUCCGUGCAGGAGACCCAGGUUUGAAUCCCGGCCAGUUCA